rnacentral:lncRNA from 1 species
ACAGAUGCUUAGUUUUUGAUGAUGGGUUCGAUACUUCUGCCCUAAUUCAUUUGGCAUAGGUGUACAGUACAACCAUUUUGGUUCCUGAGCAUUGCUAGAAAAAAAAAAGAACACCGAGGAAGAGGUAAAUACUGAAUACAGACACAGACACCCAACCUUCAAGUUACUGUUGCCCAAGUGAUUAGCUGAAAAAGGUGAUGUGGGCAAGCAAUGGCGGGCAACUCGAAUGGCACCGCGAGUGGGGUGAUUUUGCAUGGCGUCGGGACUCGGAUAAACUGGCUCUGGCUUCUGGAAUGAAUCAAUCCAAUCGGCAUCAAAGUCGCGCAUCGAACUAUCGAAGGGUUCAGGGUUUUUGUGCAAAGGAUGCAAUGCGGAAUGCGAGGAGCGGAAGGAAGGGAGAGGGCGGCGCUCACCUCGGAUGAACCAACCCCCAAUGGCCGGGGCUGGUGCCUCGGAGCCGAACUGGCGGGGAGUCGGAGAGGACGAGGAAGAGAGGCAGG